UACGGGGGGGGCAAGCGUUGUUCGGAAUUACUGGGCGUAAAGGGCGCGUAGGCGGCCCGCUUAGUCGGACGUGAAAUCCCUCGGCUCAACCGAGGAACUGCGUCCGAUACUGGCAGGCUUGAAUCCGGGAGAGGGAUGUGGAAUUCCAGGUGUAGCGGUGAAAUGCGUAGAUAUCUGGAGGAACACCGGUGGCGAAGGCGGCAUCCUGGACCGGUAUUGACGCUGAGGCGCGAAAGCCAGGGGAGCAAACGGG
rnacentral:rRNA from 1 species